CCUACGGGAGGCUGCAGUAGGGAAUUUUGCGCAAUGGGGGAAACCCUGACGCAGCAACGCCGCGUGAUCGAUGAAGCCCUUCGGGGUGUAAAGAUCUGUCAGUGGGGACGAAACCUGACGGUACCCACAGAGAAAGCACCGGCUAACUCCGUCCCAGCAGCCGCGGUAAUACGGGGGGUGCAAGGGUUGUCCGGAAUCAUUGGGGGUAAGGGGUGCGUAGGUGGCACGGUAAGUCUGGUGUGAAAGGCGGAGGCUCGACUUCCGUAGGGCACUGGAUACUGGCGGGCUUGAUUGCGGUAGGGGUAAAGGGAAUUCCUGGUGUAGCGGUGAAAUGCGUAGAUAUCAGGAGGAACAUCGGUGGCGUAGGCGCUUUACUGGGCCGUAAUUGACACUGAGGAACGAAAGCCUGGGUAGCAAAUGGGAUUAGAUACCCGUGUAGUC
rnacentral:rRNA from 1 species